CAAAUUUUGUCCACCUUAAGGCAUGAAAAUUUUGAGAUCCUCUUAGUUGUAGGUUUGGAGAACUUUAGCAUUCCAAAUUCCAUUGAAGAAACUCUUUUCCUUUUCAACGGGCUUCCUCCAUUGAGUCACAAAUAUUUGGAGUAAGUCCAAAAUUUGAUUAGAAUAGUUUCAUAUUUGGCGUUCAUAUGAAAAAUACUGUAGGAACAUAUUUUUUGACACUCAUGCAACUGAAGUUGCAAUGAGAUUCCAAGCGCC
rnacentral:lncRNA from 1 species